UAACUGAAGAGUUUGAUCAUGGCUCAGAUUGAACGCUGGCGGCAGGCUUAACACAUGCAAGUCGAGCGGGGGAAGGUAGCUUGCU
rnacentral:rRNA from 1 species